ACAGACUGGUGGUGCAAUUGUGGCAAUUGAGCUCCAAUGAGCUCCAAUGAGGAAUCUUUGUGCUGCAGAUAAUUCGAAUAUGUGACUACAAUUCUUACAGAAAUGGAGAAACAUGAUGAUGAGUUGCAGUUAGUUUGUUUUUGUGACGACAGGGAUAUUGCUGCCCACAUAACUCCUGAUGUCCUGAAAACAUAUUUACAUGUUGGAGACAGCUGGGCCAAUUGGACAGUUCUCUACCGGGUAAGUAGCUAAACUUUACUUUAUAGAAUGAUCGCUUAUCAUAAACCUCUAUGAAUGGGUCGUUAGUGGAUUUUAUGUUUUCAUAUUAGCCCAAAACACUGAGUGUUCAAAACAAGAAGAACUUCUGCUCUUUCUUGACAGACACAGACAGACAAACAGGGGGAGGGGGUUGUUGCAACUCAACAUUAGGAAUGUUUGGUAGCCUAUGUUAAUUUAUCGCAAUGUUUCUCCCCUCGUCAUAAAUACAUAGGGUACAUACGCUAACCUAUAGAGCACCCAGGCCGAUGUCUAAGCGAUAUGGUGCAAUGGUAAUAACACAAUAAGGACACCUCGAACUUCAAGAAUCAGGCUAGGCUACAUACCUCCGCAUGCUUGCUUUGUCGCUUUCUCUUCUCAAACGACUAUUUGUAUUUUGGCACUGCGUCAGAACCAGUCCAUGGAUCCAGUAACAACAUCUGUAUUUUUUUUGUAUCCUUCGGUUUUCUGUCCCCAUCAUUUCAGACACCGUAUCUCGUUCAUAUGCAUCGUCUCUGUAGUGCUUGCUACACACGCAGUGAUGCAAUGUUGGCUGCAGGAGUAUUUACAUCGUAUUUACCAUUUCGAAUGGCUGCAUCUCUUCAUAUCUUUUAUCGGAAAACACUGAAAUGUGGUGCAUUUUCCAGCCUUUCCGGUAUGUGGUUCCUUGAUUUCCAGUAUCAAGUGCAGCCCCGGACCAAAUACCCAGCUUACUCUUGCUGCCAUCUCUUUACUUUGCGUAACUAACUUUACCAGCGAUAUACCAGUGGUGACCCGUCAUUCAGGGCAGGUGGGGCUGUUUUGAGCGCCACAUUUUUAGCAACAACAAAAAUAUAUAUAUAUUUAUUUUGGGGGUGCCGUCUGUUUUGCAUGUUAUAUUGACAUUAAUACGUGUCACAUACCAGUUUGCAAACAAUGUAAAAAAAUAUAUACAAUAGAGAUAAUAAAGCCAAAUACAAACAUGGACUCUUUUUUGCUUUCUUGAGUAAGGGAGCUCCAAAAUUAAGGUGUUUUAGCCUAGCUCAGUGCUUUCUGUGGUGGUGGGGCAAGCCAGCAGAAAAUACAGAGCGCUGCGUCGUGAUUGGCUCAGUGUUCUGUCACUCAUGGGGACACUACGUCACCGCCAAUUCUAAGGGUCGAGCUUGAAAAUUCUAGCCCUUUGGGUGCUGCCAUAUAGUUAUAUUAGAAGUAGCCAUCCAAGAAGGCUCAAGGUCAUUGGUCACAGAUAAAAUUACGUCAAAUCACGUUAUAUCUAGAGUAGCUUUGAUUAGACUGAGGUCAAUAUCAUACUUAGCUAGCAGUCAUCAUCAUGAAUCAUGUCGACAAAUCUACUGGCAAAUCCUUUUUAAUCCUUGUCAUAUAAAGAGAAAUAAUGAAGAGAAAUUAUAGAUAAAACGUAUCGGUGCUCAUCGGCCAUUAACAUUACACAACAAGUUGGAAAUCGUAAAUUCAAACAAUGAGUGGUUUGGAAGGAAUCAGUGGCCAACUGCAAGCAUUGCAAAGCAAUCAUUAGCCUGCUAUUCAGCAGAGUGGCUGUGUGGUCCCAAGUCUAAGAUUAAAGGUUUAUUUUCCUAGUUUAAAAUUAUAAACAUUCAACAUUGGCCAUGCUGUCAAUGAAGCAUGAUUUGUGCCGCGUUCAAAACAACAGUUAACUCGGAACUGCAAAAUCUGACUUUAGUGAGUUCAAGACAACUGAGAACUCGGGAAAAAUGAGCUACGACUGGGAAAAUACGUUUUGAACUUUCAUCCAACUCUGAAUUGUAAAUCGGGAACUCUGGCCACUUUCUAGAGCUACGACCUAAAUAUCACUGACGUCAUCAUGAUUUUACCUUUUUUUUCUCUGAGUUCCCAGAUGUCUUGAAAGCACCAUAAAUACAGAGAAUGCCAGACUUUGAUGAAAGUUUGAUGACAAAAUUUGCCCACAAAGGACCUUCCUGUUCAAGUGAGCACAUCACAACAAGCCUGAGGACUUCCCUGAGAUGGAGAUCUUGUGGCAGCUGACCUGCGCCUGGAACACAGGCAUCCUGCUUUACAGCCUGGCCGAGUACCCUGAGGGGUGGUGUGGCCUGGGCAUGAGCUUCCUCCGCUGCCUGGGCUCCCUGCAGGAGAGCUACCAGACACAGAUGUCAGAUCUGUACACAGGUCCUGGAUAGUCUGGACAAAGCCAAGAAGAACCUCCUCUUGGAGUAGUGAUUUGAGCUGGUAGAGCUUUGCAGAGCUCUUUUGCUGUCUAGCACCUGAUAUUAUUCAUGUGGUAGCUGGGAUGGUAGUUUACUAUAUGAUGUCUCACUGGUUCUUGUAUGACUGGUCUCCAGUUUAGUCAGCUCCUCCAGGAUGUCAGUUACAUCCUGUCCUCGCCCAAUAUUUCCCUCACUUUCCCUAUGGAGAGUUCAGAUAACCGUUUCUAGUUAAUGUUUUGGUACAUCUGCACAUGAAUGGAUUUUAUUUUAAGCCUCUUGCAUAUAUUACAUUCAUGUGAAUUUUACAUGUAAAAAUUUCAUUCAUCUUAAUUAAACAAAUCAUCUUAAACUGCCAAUACCAGUGGACUCAAAUAAAACACAUCAAAAUCAUAUAACCGAGUCACAUAUUUUAUUAUUUUCAAACAAAUAAACUCUUGUCCAGUCCAAAACAAAACCCCAAACAAAAUAGGUUGCAGGACUGUUCCCUCAUGACUAGGACAGGGAAGACCGUUUUGGCCCAGCGUCCUGAUAGGCUCUACCACCUGUAGUGUGACAGGAAGGAAAGUACUGUACAAUCAAAGGGUUCGCAAGCACUUACUGCACAGGUGCGCUGUCAAACAACUCAUCACCCAGAAGGACAAACCAUAACCCGACCGACCCCACCCCCCCAGAGCUCAUGUCUCUCUCACUGGAAAAAAUACCCUCAUCAAUUAUACAAACACAAGAGGCAUUUCGGUUCAAUCUUGUUCUACCGCAAUAGAAAUAAUACAAUUAAAUCUAGUUCUUUGGGCUUUAUUGACAUGGCUGACCGAGAGGUAUAAAUACCAGACGUUAACAGUCUGGUGUUUAGUUGAAACACAGCUGAGGAGCAGUUCUAAA